rnacentral:lncRNA from 1 species
AUCAACUACAUCUCCAUUGAUGAUUGAACCUUAGCAAUUCAUUCAGUACAAAAUUGGAACAAGAUACUCCCUGACUUCAAGAAUUUCACAAUGAAUUGGGAUAGGCACAAGGGUCAGGUAAUUAUCUUAGCUCUUGCUUGGGUAGCCAGGGGUAUGUAAAUCAGAUUAGGAGCACCAGGAUUCCUUUCAAGGGAGGUGAUAUUGAGCAGAGAUGUGAUGGUAGAGUACACAUUAAUUAGGAAAACAGGUGGUGGGAAGUCAUUCUGAGCAGAGGGAAGAACAUGCGGGAAGCCAUAGAGCGUCAUAAGGCAUGACCCUAUCCCAGCGCUGCUAGAGGUUCCGUAUAUCUAAAGAUGAUGCAGGAGCCAGAACUAGGGGCUGGAUAAUGGAGAAGCUUGCAUGCUAAACUUAUUACGAACUUUAUUUUGAAAGUAGUGGAACGUUAUUGGACCACUUCAAAAGCGGAGUGUUACGUUCAGGCUUGAAUUUUAGAAAUAUCUGUCUGGUAGCCAUGUGCAGGUUGGUUGGAAAGGGAGGCAUCAGACAGGAGACGAAUGAGAAAGCUGUUGCAGUCAUCUGGGUGAGAAACCAACGAGGGCCUGAAUAAGAUGGCGGCUGGAGACUAGCGCUGGAGAGGGGGAGCCUUCCAUAUCCGGCCACUUCUCUCCACAGCCGCCAUUUUGGCAGAAGCCUAAGCCUUGCUCAUCCCUUACUUAGGCUACAUUUUCAAAAGUCAGAAAAAACUUUUUCCUGAAGAAGGGGUUUCUGAGACAAGUAGGUCAAAGAAAGGCCAGCGUGUGGGAGUGUGUGUGUGUGUGUGUGUGUGUGUGUGUGUCCUUGAGUAAAAUUGCAAGCCAAAGAGGAAGGCAGCAGUAUGUAUUCUCUGUAGGUGAGCAGGAAGCUUGCGGCCCUACACAGUGCUGACGUAAUGAGUCCGUCCUGUGCCUAUUCAUUCAAAACAGGAUUGAGACGUCAGCUUGACAAAGCUUUCUCUCCUCGCAGGACCCCUAUUUGUGACCAAUUGUAAGAUCAUCUGAAGAUCGAGUCCGAUUGCCUGGCCAGGCCGGGCUGGGUGGUAUGUGCCCCCGUCACGCCGGAGGUUCCUGCUUUAGCGACGCCAAAGAUUGGGUGUGAGGGCAGCCCGCGGUGACAGAGACACGGAUCGGACCGAGAGAAAAAGGCUGUGGGCUUCACUGAGCAGAGUGACGAAUUUCAACCCUUCUUGCUACAUUCAAGACAUAGAAAUCCAGCCAGAAGACAACUCGAGAUAUUUUGUGGAUCUAUGCCUUUCCUUCAGAAAAGCAAAUAUCUACCAUAAAAAAACACUGGUCCAAUAUUCACUUCUAUAAGAAAUGCAGGGGCAAAUAAAUUAUGGAUUUUAUUAUCGCUAAUAGAGUCACUUAACCAUUACUCCUUACUACAUUCUGCUUUUCUAACAAAAUUUCGACUGAAUAUUCUCCCUCAGAGCCUCCAAAAGGAACCAACUGAUGACAACUGAUUUUGGACUUCUGGCCUCCUGAACUAUAACAAAAUAAACAUCUGUUGUUUUAAGCAAGCCAGGUUGUGAUUGUUACAGAAGCUCUAGGAAACUAAAAUACUUAAUAUCUAAGUAUCUUAAAACUAAGAUACCUUCUUAUACCUUCUUAUCAUGCGAUCAUAGAAAAUAUGUCCAAUUAGUCACAAGUGGGAUUGGGCAAGAGAAGAUGGAUAAGGGGUGUAAAUCCUUCACCACAAUUAAGAAAUUAUACGUAGAAAUUGCAUUCUAUUGGUGAAGCAAUAAAAUCAUUGUUGGGAAUAAGAACAGCAUUACAGUGUGGUGGCUCAAACCUGUACUCCCAGCAAUUUGGGAGGCUGAGGCAGGCGAUUCA